rnacentral:rRNA from 1 species
GACGAACGCUGGCGGCGUGCCUAAUACAUGCAAGUCGAACGAAGCUGUUUUAACUGGUGCUUGCACCGACUUAAACAACUGAGUGGCGAACGGGUGAGUAACACGUGGGUAACCUGCCCCAAAGCGGGGGAUAACAUUUGGAAACAGAUGCUAAUACCGCAUAAUCACAGAAACCACAUGGUUUCUGUGUCAAAGAUGGUUUCGGCUAUCACUUUGGGAUGGACCCGCGGCGUAUUAGCUAGUUGGUAAGGUAAUGGCUUACCAAGGCCAUGAUGCGUAGCCGAACUGAGAGGUUGAUCGGCCACAUUGGGACUGAGACACGGCCCAAACUCCUACGGGAGGCAGCAGUAGGGAAUCUUCCACAAUGGACGAAAGUCUGAUGGAGCAACGCCGCGUGAGCGAAGAAGGUUUUCGGAUCGUAAAACUCUGUUGUCAGAGAAGAACGUGUGCGAGAGUAACUGUUCGUGCAGUGACGGUAUCUGGCCAGAAAGCCACGGCUAACUACGUGCCAGCCGCCGCCGUAA